AGAAUAGAGGGAACAUUUUGGCUGAGAGCCUCAGCUGGGAUGUGGAAAGCAAACAGAAUAAGGUGGUUGGACUGAAAUUCAGUAUGAAUCAUAUAAGAGAGAUUUAGAAGCACGUGAAGAUAAAUGUUUCCCAUGUGACACCAAACAGCACAUUUGGAAGGUUGAAACUUUCUGGAGAUACCAAAUAAAAUUCGAGGCACUACACACUGCUGGUGGAGAGCCUGAGCACAGAUGCUGUGGAUAUCACCGCCAUUCACAUCACAACCUUUAAGGAGGAAGACCACCUCAGGAUUCAUCGAUACAGACAUAAUGAUUUAGAAGCCUGGUCGAAUUAUUUACCAUUAGGUUUUGCGCCAGUUGAUCAAUGGGCAGCAGGAAGCCUAGAUUUAAUAGAAAGUGUCAGCAAGGAAUCACUAUCACUGACAUCCAUCUCGUGACCACCUCAUGCUCCCCCCUCAUUAAGUCCUCUAAGGGCCCUUCCUUCCGUGAGAAAGAUUACAUUAUGGGAAUGAUGCUGCUGCCAGAGCUCACUGGUCACUCAGGCAGCACCGUUUUGCAAUCUGUAGCCUUCUUGAAAGGAAGUUGUGGGACCAGAGAUCCAAGUAUGAGGCCCUCGAAGAAACCACCGGGGUCUCCGAUGGUUCCCCAUUCAAGUCUGAGGCCUUUCAGUUUCUCAUUGCUUGUCCCUUCUUAGCAUUUUCACCUAAAAGAGACAAAAGCAUGGUUUUCCUUAAAGAAAUGUAAGGCUAUAUCCCUGGUUUAGAAUGCUAUAAGACUAUGAAUCAUGAGCUAAUAUUCUUCAGACAAGAUGUACUAGUUUUUAUGUCCCUAGAUACUUAACUAUUUCCAACAGAGCAUUAGUCAUUGGUCCCGGGACUUUCCCCAGGAUUUUCCAUGAACUUCCAUAUGUUCUUCCAGUUACUUAGCUUCUUGUUUUUUCCCCUAGUAUUCUGUGUAAGGAAAAUUUCUCACAAUAGAUGAUACACACUCUAGUUUGGCAAGAUACCCGUCAUGAGCACGUGGGUAACUGAAACCCUAAAUGCAUAUUUGCAGGUCCUUGUUUCAGUUUUUGUUUUUGUCCUAACCAAGAGAUAAAAUGAUAAGGAUUUAUAUUUGGAAAGUGUAUCUGGAAAUUUACAAUAAACCAGUAAGUAGAGAAAUUUCA